rnacentral:rRNA from 1 species
UGCAGUCGAGCGGAACGAUCCUAGCUUGCUAGGAGGCGUCGAGCGGCGGACGGGUGAGUAAUGCAUAGGAAUCUGCCCGAUAGUGGGGGAUAACCUGAGGAAACUCAGGCUAAUACCGCAUACGUCCUACGGGAGAAAGCAGGGGCUCUUCGGACCUUGCGCUAUCGGAUGAGCUUAUGUCGGAUUAGCUGGUUGGUGAGGUAACGGCUCACCAAGGCGACGAUCCGUAGCUGGUCUGAGAGGAUGAUCAGCCACAUCGGGACUGAGACACGGCCCGAACUCCUACGGGAGGCAGCAGUGGGGAAUAUUGGACAAUGGGGGCAACCCUGAUCCAGCCAUGCCGCGUGUGUGAAGAAGGCCCUCGGGUUGUAAAGCACUUUCAGUGAGGAAGAAGGCUUGUCGGUUAAUACCCGGCAAGGGAGACAUCACUCACAGAAGAAGCACCGGCUAACUCCGUGCCAGCAGCCGCGGUAAUACGGAGGGUGCGAGCGUUAAUCGGAAUUACUGGGCGUAAAGCGUGCGUAGGCGGCUUGAUAAGCCGGUUGUGAAAGCCCCGGGCUCAACCUGGGAACGGCAUCCGGAACUGUCAGGCUAGAGUGCAGGAGAGGAAGGUAGAAUUCCCGGUGUAGCGGUGAAAUGCGUAGAGAUCGGGAGGAAUACCAGUGGCGAAGGCGGCCUUCUGGACUGACACUGACGCUGAGGUACGAAAGCGUGGGUAGCAAACAGGAUUAGAUACCCUGGUAGUCCACGCCGUAAACGAUGUCGACUAGCCGUUGGGGUCCUCGAGACCUUUGUGGCGCAGUUAACGCACUAAGUCGACCGCCUGGGGAGUACGGCCGCAAGGUUAAAACUCAAAUGAAUUGACGGGGCCCGCACAAGCGGUGGAGCAUGUGGUUUAAUUCGAUGCAACGCGAGACCUUACCUACCCUUGACAU